rnacentral:rRNA from 1 species
AGUAAAUAGAUACCCAGGUAGUCCAUGCUGUAAACGAUGGAUGCUAGCUGUGAUGCGUAUCGACCCGCGUCGUAGCGAAGCUAACGCGUUAAGCAUCCCGCCUGUGGAGUACGGCCGCAAGGCUAAAACAUAAAGGAAUUGACGGGGACCCGCACAAGCGGUGGAGCGUGUUGUUUAAUUCGAUGGUAAGCGAAGAACCUUACCCAGGUUUGACAUCCUUGGAAGUUCUGCGAAAGCAGAGUGUUCCUUCGGGAACCAAGUGACAGGUGAUGCAUGGCCGUCUUCAGCUCGUGUCGUGAGACGUUAGGUUAAGUCCUUCAACGAGCGCAACCCUUAUAGUUAGUUGUAUUUUCUAGCUAGACUGCCUGGUAACAGGGAGGAAGGGGGGACGGAUGUCAGGUCAGUAUCUCCCUUAUAUCUGGGGCUACAAACACGCUACAAUGGCCGGUACAAGGGAAGCAACCCGCGAGGGGAGCAAUCCCAUCAAAGCCGGUCUCAGUUCGGAUUGUAGGCUGAAACUCGCCUGCAUGAAGCUGGAA